GCCGAGAAGCACGUGGACCAGGCCGUCACGCCCGAGGCGGCUCGCUGCCCAGGAUCAAGUGUGCGCCCCGCUGCUGGCUUUCCCUGCCCUUUUGCGUACACAGAAUUUCAUUUUCAUUUCAAUUCAGAAUCAGCACGUAAUCUUCUGGGAGACAUUUUUAAAAGGCCGUUAAACUCAAGGUCGUACUGACAACGCACACAACCCCGCGGAUGACGACCACGUCGGAACGGCCACGUCCAAAUCUGCGCAUGCGCGCCGAGUGACCACGGCUUCCCAGCGAUCUCAGGAGACUAUCCCGCCACAGAAGAAGAGACAGUCCACUCUGGGAUAAACACCCCUGACAUCUGUGGUUCCACAGUGGCUCUCGAUUCUGGACUAACUGUGGACUGACAAUUAAAAUAGAAUUGCUGGCUGCACUUAACCCACCCUUUGGCCGUGAAAGAUGAAAGAGAUCUAGCCAUACGUCGACUCUGAAGACUCCGAUGCCGUAACAUGAUGAGAACUAUUAAAUGGGAAAGAGAGCAACUUUGCAACGUGGCAAAAUAUCCUGCAUACGAGUUUUAGGCCAACUACUGAGCAACAUGGAAUGCCGCGUCACCUCACCAGGAGUCUCUUUUUGCUAUAAAUACUGGUGCUUUGUGUUUAGGUUUUGUUUUCCUUAUAUGUGCAUAAUAUAGACGGCAAAUAUUUGAGCCAGACAAUAGCAAAAUCUUCAAAAUAUACUGACCUGAAAUUACAGUAUAUCUAAGAAACAUCUAUUAUCUCCCCAAACUGGAUUCUGAAUUCAUCUGAGAACAUUUGCUUAUGAAUCCAUUUAGAGACUAGUAAAAAUUUAAAAACUCAGGUUAUUCAUAUACAUUUUAGAAAAUGUACAUUCUAUUGCAAAAAUCUUUAAUGAGCCAAAUGUCAAAAGGUAGAGCCACUGUUAUUGGACAGAACUGAAAAUUUUAAGAUCUCAAAGCGAUUUAAACGUGGGACUCGUAAGACUUUACUGCUAAUAAUGGCUUUCCUAGAGGAAAAAUCAUCUUAAUAUACGACAAUUGGCAGUGAGUGUGGACAAAAUACCCAGUCUCCUAUAGAAUCACAGCCAACAGAAUCUUUGAAGGACAAACAAUGGCAAUACUCCACGUAAAGAAGACGGCGCGCAUGUGUGAUGCAAGAUGAAUAUUAAGAGUGACGCUUGGUACCUGCCACAAUACGGGACUUGCUUGUCUUCUUUUGUUUUGAAGAAUCUGACUGGCAUUGAUCUUGAGGGGACUCCAACAUGUUUGGAAGUAAGAGCGGAACCUGAAUCUUUCAUCAAAUGAGGGGCCACAGAAGCCUGUCAAACAAUUGUACAGGGAUGCAACCAGCAAGAAACAGACUUGUGGGAAACUCUACAGAACCAAACUAAACCAAACCAAAAAGACCCCACUUCUUAAACAAAUAAAUUUUAAGGGGGAACAAAGGGAAGGGGUUACCAGUAGGUCAGAAAAGAUUUAAAAGAUAUUAUCAGCUACCUGCAGAUACGGGCCAUAUGGGUCCUGCAAACUGUUAAAAACACUGAGACAACUGUAGAUAUUUGAACAUUAACUAUUUGGUGAUAUUAAGACAUUACUGUUCUUUUGAGGUGUGAUGAUCAUAUUGUGAUUAUAUGUCUAGAAAGGGUCUGUAUGUUUUAGAAAUACACACUAAAAAUAUGUAAUGAUAUGAAAUAAUUUUGCAUCAAAGUAGUCCGCAGAAGAGAUGCACAUG